AGUGAUGUGACGUUAACUUUAACGGUUAACGUGAACAUCACGUUAACGGAGGUUUUUGGGGUCCGUUAACUUUAACGGAUAACUUAAACGUUUUGAAAUUUUCAUGCGUUAAUUUCAACGUUAUUUUAUUUAUUUUUUAGCUGAAAAUGCAACGCUGUGUUUAGGUUUUUUCAUUUUUUUUGUUUAGGUUUACUGUAAAAAUUUAAAUUUCUACUUAUUACUUACACAGCUCAGCGUACGUUCGUAGUCUGCUAGACAUUUAGAAGUACUCAAUGUGUUUUUGAAUGCUUUAAUAAAGUUCAUUUUUUAGUGAUUGACUGAUUGUACUGAUUGAAAUGAGUGAAUCAGAGAAUUCCUCCGAAGAUGAAGGGCAAUCUAUUCAGUUUGUCCCUGCUAAUCUACGUAAAAGAAGCGUCAUUCACAAUUAUUUUUUUUUCAACCAAAAGUCGAAAACAAGUGUGUGCAAAACUUGUAAAGCUGAGCUUGCAGGAAAAAAUAGCUCAAAUCUAAUAAACCACAUCAAAAAAGCAAUUCAUUUGAAAGAUUUAUAUCCUAAAUAUCUUCAAGAUGUGUCUGAUAAUCAAGAAGCUACUGCAAGUAAGAAGACUAAGUUGUCGAAGGAAAAAAAGAAACCUGAUUUAAAGCAACAGACUCUUCAUCAGCUGCCGAACGUGAGUUUUCUGCGUCUGGAUGGCAUACACUGGGGAGAAAGAAUCGCACAACAGGAGUCACUUUGGCAGCAAAAGUGUUCCUUACUUGUAACAAAGACCUAUUAAGGCCCCUUUUUUUUUAAGUCUUGUUUACUUUCCUCCUUGUUUUUCGCAGUUUCUUUUUUCUCAUUAGAACAGCGAAAUAUCCAAAUGAGAAAAUGCCUAAUUAUUUAAUGGAUCUACCUGAUAACCGUAAUAAAACUAAUCAAGACCGUGA